rnacentral:rRNA from 1 species
UACGAAGGGGGCUAGCGUUGCUCGGAAUGACUGGGCGUAAAGGGCGCGUAGGCGGUUCGUACAGUCAGACGUGAAAUUCCCGGGCUCAACCUGGGGGCUGCGUUUGAUACGUACGGGCUUGAGUUCGGAAGAGGGUCGUGGAAUUCCCAGUGUAGAGGUGAAAUUCGUAGAUAUUGGGAAGAACACCGGUGGCGAAGGCGGCGACCUGGUCCGAGACUGACGCUGAGGCGCGAAAGCGUGGGGAGCAAACAGG